rnacentral:ncRNA from 1 species
AGGGAAACAGCCCAGACCACCAGCUAAGGUCCCAAAAUAUAUGUUAAGUGGAAAAGGAUGUGGCGUUGCCCAGACAACUAGGAUGUUGGCUUAGAAGCAGCCAUCAUUUAAAGAGUGCGUAAUAGCUCACUAGUCGAGUGACCCUGCGCCGAAAAUGUACCGGGGCUAAACACGACACCGAAGCUGAGGAAUGACAUAGUCAUUGGUAGAGGAGCAUUGAAUGCGGGAUGAAGCAUGAUCGUAAGGACAUGUGGAGCGCAUUAGAGUGAGAAUGCCGGUAUGAGUAGCGAAAGACAGGUGAGAAUCCUGUCCACCGUAAGACUAAGGUUUCCAGGGGAAGGCUCGUCCGCCC